rnacentral:misc_RNA from 1 species
AAAAAAGAAAAAGCAUCCUCUAACAUUGAUUAAUUAAUUAAUUUACAGCUCAAUUCUACAAUCAACCAACUAAAAUUAUAGAGACUCUUACUUUUCACAGUUGAUGAAAAUACCCCAUAAGACUUUGACGUGCACCACAAAAACAUUUAGAAGUCACGUGACUGUCUCAGCACUUAGCAGCUAGCUAGCAGCCAUGACCGUAAUAAUAAUAAUUGCAAUGCUUCUGCUGGGACUGGGAGGAGCCACCACCACCACCAGCACCACCACCCGCACCAGCUGACGAUCUCACGGAGUAGACACCGUCCCAGAUCUCAGUAAAAGCUCUAACGAUAAUCCCAUGGUGAUAAGGCGAGUUUAGCUGCAAGAAGCAGUUAAGAAGCUCUCGAAGAUCGUCUUUUGAGUAUAUUUCUUUUUCCAAUAUCAUUUGAAGCAUUGACUGACGAAAAUCCAGAUAUGGGUCAUCCGACUCUUUUUCCACUGCCAAACUCUCGCCGCCGACCCGCCCGACUCCUCGAACGGUUCUCGAGCAUUUCUUGCUGCUGUUUGUGUCCCAUGAGGACUGCGGUGGCGUGUUGGCAGAGAAUGAGGUGGUAGUGUCGUAGUCCGAGGGAGAAGGGUUGGUUUUUGAGGAGGUGGAAGAGGAAUAGUAGACUUCAUGGUUAUAGCUUUCAUGGUAGGAAUUGGUGGUGGGUUUUCUGGGUCUUGGCUUGGGAUGGAAAAUAUUGGAGAGGUUUGGUUUCUUGCAGCUGCUACAGCCUAAGCUGACUGAGACUGAGCUGCGAAUUGACCUUUUCUUGUUAGAGAACAUGGUAGAAGAAGCAGCCGUGUGAGAGAGAGAGAGAGAGAG